UGCAGUAUGAUAUCACUCAUUCUUUCAAUAUUCUAUGUAAAUUAUUUUAUUUUAGAAUUAAAUUGUGAAGUGGGGGAACUUGGCUUCGUGAGACGAUAACAAAGUCGGACCUUUGACCGACUUUGACAGUUACUGGUUCAGUUUUGGUUUAUAUUUCGACGAGUGCACAUCGCAGAUCGCACAGCGCGCAUUCCUUGGAAGUACCAAUGAAGUCUUAACACAAAAUAAAACUGUGGAGUGGGAGAGCAUGGCUUUGUGAGACGAUAACAAAGUCGGACCUUUGACCGACUUUGACAGUUACUGGUUCAGUUUUGGUUUGGAUUUCGACGAGUGCACAUCGCAGAUCGCACAGCGCGCAUUCCUUUGAAAAUAAAACUGUGGAGUGGGAGAGCUUGGCUUCGUGAGACGAUAACAAAGUCGAACCUUUGACCGACUUUGACAGUUACUGGUUCAGUUUUGGUUUAUAUUCCGACGAGUGCACAUCGCAGAUCGCACAGCUCGCGUUCCUUUGAAGUACCAAUGAAGUGUUAACACAAGUGCAGUAUGAUAUCACUUAUUCUUUCAAUAUUCUAUGCAAGUUAUUUUAUUUUAGAAUUAAACUGUGAAGUGGGGAUGCUUGGCCUCGUGAGACGAUAACAAAGUCGGACCUUUGACCGACUUUGACAGUUACUGGUUCAGUUUUGGUUUAUAUUCCGACGAGUGCACAUCGCAGAUCGCACAGCUCGCGUUCCUUGGAAGUACCAAUGAAGUCUUAACACAAGUACAGUAUUGUAUCAUUCAUUCUUUCAAUAUUCUAUGUAAAUUAUUUUAUUUUAGAAUAAAACUGUGGAGUGGGAGAGCAUGGCUUUGUGAGACGAUAACAAAGUCGGACCUUUGACCGACUUUGACAGUUACUGGUUCAGUUUUGGUUUGGAUUUCGACGAGUGCACAUCGCAGAUCGCACAGCGCGCAUUCCUUUGAA